CUACGGGGCGCUCCAGUGGGGAAUAUUGGGCAAUGGGCGCAAGCCUGACCCAGCAACGCCGCGUGAGGGAAGAAGGUUUUCGGAUUGUAAACCUCUGUCCUUGGGGACGAAGAAGUGACGGUACCCAAGGAGGAAGCUCCGGCUAACUACGUGCCAGCAGCCGCGGUAAUACGUAGGGAGCAAGCGUUGUCCGGAAUUACUGGGCGUAAAGGGUGCGUAGGCGGCAUAUUAAGUCAGGUGUGAAAUACUCGGGCUCAACCCGAGGGGUGCAUUUGAAACUGAUAAGCUUGAGUGUGAGAGAGGAAAGUGGAAUUCCUAGUGUAGCGGUGGAAUGCGUAGAUAUUAGGAGGAACACCAGUGGCGAAGGCGACUUUCUGGCUCAUAACUGACGCUGAGGCACGAAAGCGUGGGGAGCAAACAGGAUUAGAUACCCUCGUAGUC
rnacentral:rRNA from 1 species